UCCUGGUGAAAUGUGCUGAGGUUUCUGCUGUGCGGAGCACUACCUCAGCUCCACGGCCUGGCCAGAAAUGACAAGUGGAGGAUAGCAUGAAUCUCUGACAUCCAUCGAUCAUCCCCAGGCUCCAUUAAAGCACCUAAAGUCCUGCUCUGUCGCCCAGAUUGGAGUGCAGUGGCGUGAUCUUGGCUCAUUGUAAGCUCCACCUCCCUGGUUCAUACCAUUCUCCUGCCUCAGCCUCCCAAGUAGCUGGGACUACA